UGGACCACCAGGGAAGUCCCCGAAACCAGCCUUGUUUAAGUGCCUGCUCUGUGCCAGCUGAGGGAACUAAGGCCCAGAAAGGUGAAGUAACUUGCUUAAAAUAAAACCUCUAGCAAGCAGGAAAGCAAGAACUUGAAUCCAAGUCUGUCUGGCUCAAGUUCUUACAGGAGGGAGAUGAAUUAGGCUAGAAUGACGGGAAAGCAAACCGAGAAGAACGUGGGGAACUUGAAGAAGAGAGCUCAAGAGUGAACCAAGAACUUAAAACUGCAGAAGACAAUGAGUAAGUGGAAGACCUAUUUUGCAAAAGUCCUGUUGUGAUUUGUUUUUGCUGGUUGCUUCUCACCUGACUGGAGAGUUAAGGAGUUUAUCCCCUGUUACCCUCUCUCUCUGGGAUCCAUCUGUCUGUAGAGAGCAUAUGUGUGGCUUUGCUCUUAGGGGAGACAGGGCAGUGGGACAAAGCCCGUGGCUUCUCCAGUGAGGCCUGCUCUGGGAGAACACAUCUCUCUAGCUCUGGGGCUCAGGGUAGGGGGUCCGUAGUAAUGGAGCUCACAUGAGGCCAAUGAAACAUGAGCAGAGGGGAUGUGGUCACCCCUGGGUGGAGGCUCUGAGAGUCAAUGUGAGGCUUGCCAUACUAACAUUUCCCUCUCUGCCACCAGGAUUGGCAGUUUUGCAACUGCUGUGUUCCUGAGUGAAGCUGACAUGGAGCAGAGCUUCAGCUGGCCCAAAGUGGACCUGUGAUGCGGACCAGAAAUAACUCUUUGUUUUUAAUCUGCCACUCCUGGGUUGUUGCUGCAGCAUAAGCUACCAGUCCUAAUACAAGGCAUACUUGUUACUGCGCAUCUAAGCCACACUCUCCAGCAGUCAUGUCAGAGAUGGAUGGACAUCUCCACUGCCCCACUUUUUUCCCCCUUUCCUCAAACUCUGAUGGGAUAGAGGCUCUUAUUUCAGCUCCCUUACACUCUGAUAAUGUCCAGUUUGCAGAACUACAGGUGAUAAUGAAUCCUGCACUUCAGUCUACAAAAAGGAAGGUUGGAAGCAUUGGUAGAAAAUGUAUUGGUGAGUUCUGAUGUUGUGAAGUGAGUGGAAGAUUAUUUAGAUAAACGGAUUAAUCUGAUUGAAACGGUUCCCAGAAGUAAAUGUCAAUGAACCAGACGUGGUAAUUUCUUGCUCAUGAAGUAGUGUUAGUAUGCAUGUGAUUUGAACUUUAUGUUAAAACACAAGCACAAGAUUGCCUCUUGGACUAUGGAUGGUAUAAAUGGGAUGGGGCCACCAUGAAUGAGAACGGUUUGUGUCAGAUAUGGUUAGCUCAAGCAGGAUGAUGAGUGAGAGUGGAGGUUCCUAGAAUGUGGUGGUGAAUCACAAACAAUACGCCAAGGCCAGAAAUAUAUAUAUAUUUUGUAUAGAAAUUAACACAAAGCUAUCUGUAAACAUCUAAGCAGAUUCCAAAUGUGCUGGAGGUUUUGCUUCAGUGCUUCAGAAUAACAAGUGUUGCCUUCAGAGGGAACAAUUGUCCUCUUAAAAGUAUGUGUGGGAUCUAAGGAGAGAGAGAGUUACACAGUCAUGUACAUGUUUCCCAAAUUGGAUUGCUGUUAAAAUGUCUGCUCAAAGAAGGGUUCUGUGAUUCAAUAACAAAACAAACAAACAAGCAAAAAUCAAGGAAAUAUGGAGUUAAAGAAGUUUCUUUACUGCAGAACUUCUCAAAGGCUUUAAUACAUUAAUGUUGAUUGUGAUUCUCCAAAAGUAGGCAGUAAUCACAGCUUCUGAACUUUUCUGACUGUGGAACUCAUAGCUAGAUUAAGAGAUGGACAGAGGGAUGGAAGGAUAGAAAGAUGAAGGGAUGAAUAUGGAUAUAGAUAUAUAAAUAUAUUUCUCAUUUCACUCUGCUAUUUGUAAAUAAUGAAGAACACUAAAUGAACCUGUAAGUAUACCUUUGACUGGAUAAAGAGACCUCCUUUGAUAUGAGCUCUUAAUGAAAAUAAAAUCAGCUAAUUCGAUUAGGAUGCUUUUGAGUACAGGAAACAGACUUUCCUUUAAAAGGACUUAAUUUCAGUUUUUUGCUUCCCCGAUGGCUCAGCGGGUAAAGAAUCCCCAGGCAUUGCAGGAAACACAGGAGACAGGAGAUGGAUGUUCAGUCCCUGGGUUAGGAAGAUUCCCCCGGAGUAGUAAGUGGAAAAUCACUUCAGCAUUCUUGCCUGAAAACUCCCAUGGACAGAGGAGGCUGGCAGGCUACAUUCCAAAGGGUUACAAAGAGCCAGACACGACUGAGUGACUGAGCACUUACCCAAACAAUGAGAAUGUCUGUUAUGUCACAUAAGAAAUCUGGAGGCAGGGUGAUUUCUGGAUGGUUAAUUCAGCCGCUCUACAGUAUUCUCAUGAAUUCUGAACUCUUGUGUUUUAUUUCUUUCUGCUCUGCUCUGCUCAGCACAAAGGCCAUGUCUCCGUCCUGAUGGCUAGACCUUACUGAGGUUUCCGGCACUGGGCAAGUGCAACUCUACCCAGAGCUGGAGGAAAACAUUUCCCCUUUGGUGGCUUCUUUUCUAGAAACGAAAUGUUUCCUUGUAGCCCCUGGUAAACUCUCCUUUAGGUUCACAAGGCAGCGUCUGCGUUGCUCACCUGUGCUCUGAAUGUACUGGGAGCUGGGAAGGUGAGGGUUUGGCAUUUUGAGUCUCCGUUGGGAGAGGUGGGUCCUCCUCGCAAGGGAAUGGAA